rnacentral:rRNA from 1 species
CAGGUAACCUGCCGCGCAGAGGGGGAUAACGACUGGAAACGGUUCGCUAAUACCGGCAUGGUAACUACACUGACGGGAGUCAGUGUGGUUAAAACCUUGGUGCUGCGCGAGGGGUCUGCGUCCGAUUAGUUAGUUGGUGAGGUAAUGGCUCACCAAGACGAUGAUCGGUAGCUGGU